UACUUUCAAUGGAUCUCUUAUGCAAAAUACCUUUCCCUUCUCUGCCAGGGUUUCUCUGUGUAGAUAUGGUUGUCCUGGAACUCACUCUAUAGAUCGAGCUGUCCUUAAAUUCAGAGAUCUACCUGCUUCUGCCCGUCUGUGUAGUCCUGGAUGUCCUGGAACUCACUCUGUAGACCAGGCUGGCCAUGAACUCAGAAAUCCACCAGCUUCUAUCUCCCAAGUGCUGGGAUUAAAGAGAGAGCACCUUGGUUCUUCGUUGGGGAAUUGCUAUUCUCUAUUCUCUGGUGUCUGCUGUUUUAAUGGGCCCAUCCGUCGAGGUGUCUCUUCUCUGUUAGUCAAGGAGCAGCCACGUGAUCCCAGCGAUGACAAUCCAAAUCUAUCACCCGGGGAUUUAAUUCUCAGUGUUAGGAGCUCCUCCAGGCAAUCAGGAAGAUUAGCAAUCAUUAGCAAUCAUGCUAACCAUGGCAUGACCUGAUUUCUGAUGGCUAUCAACAUAACUUUAUUCCCUUUUGCUUUUCUACUUGGUCCUCUUCAAACUAUGUCCAGCUGACCUGAUCAAUUCAUCCAACAAUACAUGCUGAGGACCUACUAAGCACGGGGUCUGUGAACAUAAAAUGGAAUUGGACAUGAAAUACGCCCUGCAGAGCAGAUGGACACAUAAGCAACAUGGCAACGAGAAGUGACAAGCACACUACUACAACCCAGCUGGCACAGAUGGUGGAGAUUUGAUAGGCUUGGUGAUCAUGGGAUGAGAAAGGGUGUCAAGAGGUGACCUUGGGAUGGCUUUCGAAAAAUAAAUAGGAACAUGUCAGACAGACAAGGGGGUAUUGCUGGCACUUGGAAGUGAAUGUGUCAUUCCAGGUGUGAAGAGGAAGGGCAGUGAUCUUUUUUCUUCUGCCUCUAUAAUUGCAGCCUAUGAUCAUAUUAGUCUUUUUGGCAGCCACAACACCCAGCUGGCUCACUGAGAGAUAAAACCUACUAUCCUUCUUGUGCUGUUUUGCCACAUCAGCCCCCAUCAUCCAUGUCCAUAAGCCAUUAUUCUUUAUCAGGGAAAAUAAAAGGAAGCCUUCAGCUC
ensembl:processed_transcript Gm36814 predicted gene, 36814